CUAGAGUUCUAUCUAACUCUCAUUUAAAUUCAUCAAGUGAAGAGGCCUCUACUGCCUUCUGUGGUAGAGAAUUCCCAACUCUCUUGGUGAUUUUUUUUUCUCAUCUCAGUUUUAAAUGGC